rnacentral:rRNA from 1 species
AGUGAACGCUGGCGGUAGGCCUAACACAUGCAAGUCGAACGGCAGCACAGUAAGAGCUUGCUCUUACGGGUGGCGAGUGGCGGACGGGUGCGGAAUACAUCGGAAUCUACUUUUUCGUGGGGGAUAACGUAGGGACACUUACGCUAAUACCGCAUACGACCUACGGGUGAAAGCAGGGGAUCUUCGGACCUUGCGCGAUUGAAUGAGCCGAUGUCGGAUUAGCUAGUUGGCGGGGUAAAGGCCCACCAAGGCGACGAUCCGUAGCUGGUCUGAGAGGAUGAUCAGCCACACUGGAACUGAGACACGGUCCAGACUCCUACGGGAGGCAGCAGUGGGGAAUAUUGGACAAUGGGCGAAAGCCUGAUCCAGCCAUACCGCGUGGGUGAAGAAGGUCUUCGGGUUGUAAAGCACUUUUGUUGGGAAAGAAAAGCAGCAGGUUAAUACCCCGCUGUUCUGACGGUACCAAAAGAAUAAGCACCGGCUAACUUCGUG